rnacentral:rRNA from 1 species
GAUGAACGCUGGCGGCGUGCCUAAUACAUGCAAGUCGAGCGAACGGACGAGAAGCUUGCUUCUCUGAUGUUAGCGGCGGACGGGUGAGUAACACGUGGAUAACCUACCUAUAAGACUGGGAUAACUUCGGGAAACCGGAGCUAAUACCGGAUGAUAUUUUGAACCGCAUGGUUCAAAAGUGAAAGACGGUCUUGCUGUCACUUAUAGAUGGAUCCGCGCUGCAUUAGCUAGUUGGUAAGGUAACGGCUUACCAAGGCAACGAUGCAUAGCCGACCUGAGAGGGUGAUCGGCCACACUGUAACUGAGACACGGUCCACAGUCCUACGGGAGGCAGCAGUAGGGAAUCUUCCGCAAUGGGCGAAAGCCUGACGGAGCAACGCCGCGUGAGUGAUGAAGGUCUUCGGAUCGUAAAACUCUGUUAUUAGGGAAGAACAUAUGUGUAAGUAACUGUGCACAUCUUGACGGUACCUAAUCAGAAAGCCACGGCUAACUACGUG